rnacentral:rRNA from 1 species
UACGAACCGGACAAACGUUAUUCGGAAUCAUUGGGCUUAAAGGGUGCGUAGGCGGCCGCGUAAGUCGGGUGUGAAAUCCCUCGGCUCAACCGAGGAAUUGCGCCCGAUACUGCGUGGCUAGAGGGAGACAGAGGCGAGCGGAACUGAUGGUGGAGCGGUGAAAUGCGUUGAUAUCAUCAGGAACACCGGUGGCGAAGGCGGCUCGCUGGGUCUCUUCUGACGCUGAGGCACGAAAGCUAGGGUAGCGAAC